rnacentral:rRNA from 1 species
CCUACGGGUGGCAGCAGUGAGGAAUAUUGGUCAAUGGGCGUAAGCCUGAACCAGCCAAGUCGCGUGAAGGAUGAAGGUUCUAUGGGUUGUAAACUUCUUUUAUAAGGGAAUAAAGUGUAGCACGUGUCCUGUUUUGUAUGUACCUUAUGAAUAAGGAUCGGCUAACUCCGUGCCAGCAGCCGCGGUAAUACGGAGGAUCCGAGCGUUAUCCGGAUUUAUUGGGUUUAAAGGGUGCGUAGGCGGGCUUUUAAGUCAGCUGUAAAAGUCGGGGGCUCAACCGGAGAAGUGCAGUUGAAACUGGCGGCCUUGAGAAGGUGAGAGGUAGGCGGAAUGCGUGGUGUAGCGGUGAAAUGCUUAGAUAUCGCGCAGAACUCCGAUUGCGAAGGCAGCCUGCUGGACUAUAACUGACGCUGAUGCACGAAAGCGUGGGUAUCGAACAGGAUUAGAUACCCGUGUAGUC